AUUAUACGGCGAAACUGCGAAUGGCUCAUUAAAUCAGUUAUUGUUUAUUUGAUAGCACCUUACUACAUGGAUAACCGUGGUAAUUCUAGAGCUAAUACAUGCUAAAAAUCCCGACUUCGGAAGGGAUGUAUUUAUUAGAUUAAAAACCAAUGCCCCUCGGGGCUCUCUGGUGAUUCAUGAUAACUUCUCGAAUCGCACGGCCUUGCGCCGGCGAUGGCUCAUUCAAAUUUCUGCCCUAUCAACUUUCGACGGCUGGGUCUUGGCCAGCCAUGGUGACAACGGGUAACGGAGGGUUAGGGCUCGACCCCGGAGAAGGAGCCUGAGAAACGGCUACUACAUCCAAGGAAGGCAGCAGGCGCGCAAAUUACCCAAUCCUGACACAGGGAGGUAGUGACAAUACAUACUGGUACAGGGCUCUUUUGGGUCUUGUAACCGGAAUGAGUACAAUUUAAACGCCUUAACGAGGAACAAUUGGAGGGCAAGUCUGGUGCCAGCAGCCGCGGUAAUUCCAGCUCCAAUAGCGUAUAUUAAAGUUGUUGCAGUUAAAAAGCUCGUAGUUGAACCUUGGGCCUGGCUGGCCGGUCCGCCUCACCGCGUGCACUGGUCCGGCCGGGCCUUUCCCUCUGGGGAACCUCAUGCCCUUCACUGGGUGUGCUGGGGAACCAGGACUUUUACUUUGAACAAAUCAGAUCGCUUAAAGAAGGCCUAUGCUCGAAUACAUUAGCAUGGAAUAAUAGAAUAGGACGUGUGGUUCUAUUUUGUUGGUUUCUAGGACCGCCGUAAUGAUUAAUAGGGACAGUCGGGGGCAUCAGUAUUCAAUUGUCAGAGGUGAAAUUCUUGGAUUUAUUGAAGACUAACUACUGCGAAAGCAUUUGCCAAGGAUGUUUUCAUUAAUCAGGAACGAAAGUUAGGGGAUCGAAGACGAUCAGAUACCGUCGUAGUCUUAACCAUAAACUAUGCCGACUAGGGAUCGGACGACGUCAUUUUUUGUCUCGUUCGGCACCUUACACGAAAGUAAAGUUUUNNNNNNNNNNNNNNNNNNNNNNNNNNNNNNNNNNNNNNNNNNNNNNNNNNNNNNNNNNNNNNNNNNNGGUAAACCUAACCGCAGUUAACUCUGCCCCAAAAAGCAGCCUGAUAAAAAGGGUAGGUGGUGGACCUCUAGCGCCUUAUACAGGUGCUGGAAACCAAGUGCUAGUCUGCAGCUGCCAAACUUGGUAGCAAAGCAGGCGACACCUUCAAACUGCGGGAACCUCCUAAAGCUUGCGUGACUAACUGGGGUGUGAAAGCACUCUAGGGCCCGGUUAAUAGCCUUGGGGAGUAACACUACGCAAGAUGUAACAAUGGACAAUCCGCAGCCAAGCUCCUACGGCCCGCAAGGGUACGGAGAAGGUUCAGAGACUUGAUGGAGGUGGCUGUUGCAGAGGGGAUUCAUUUACACUAUGAUUCACUAUAGAUGGUGAUUUACUUGCAGUUGGUGAUUCAGCUGCCUGUAGGGAUUCAGUGGAGGUUCCAUUCACUACUUGCCUCGUUAUGGGUGCUCCAGUGCCUAUAUAUUGAGGGCCACCCCCCAAGCCCUGGGCAGGCUCUGGCAUCAGCCAGACAACGUUUUCGAAAUGUCAACCGCUAAUCUCCCGCCUUCUGGCGGACUCACCAAUGCUGUGAUUGCCGAAUGGGCUCGGCGUAUUCAGCUCUUAUGUACGCGUCUCCCGACCGCGGAGCGCGGCGAUCUAUAUCAACUGUGGCGGGCCAUCCGCGAUUUUCUUACUGCGCAUGUACGAGAGAUACAGCAGCCCUCGCGUCCUAGUACUAGUAACUCUGUGAUGGAGUUUCGGGAUCGUGUUGGCCUGCUGCUAGAUCAGUCUGCGGUAGANNNCGUGAUCGAGCCGGCGAAGCUAAACGAAGCGAGAAAUUCUUGCCAGGGCUUGUCGGUAUACGAGGUAGAAGGGACUGGGUUCACGCUAGACCCAUGCCCACACUGGGACGACGAGAAAUGGACAGGUAGCAAUGCAGGGCCGCGGCGGUCUUGUAUUCUGCCGAAGCGAACGAUACCGAGGGAACAGCGGGGAAAGUACCUACAGCUAAACAGCCUUGGUAUACCUAUUCCCCGCUAAGGGGGAGGCAUAGUCGUGUGAAUGGAUACCCGAGUUUACAGCAGUCUCUAGUACUGCUUGCAAUGGUUAAGAUAAAGUCCGGCCCUAUGGGAGACUAUAGGGGUUAAACAUAUAAUAAACGGGAGCCUGCGGCUUAAUUUGACUCAACACGGGGAAACUCACCAGGUCCAGACACAAGUAGGAUUGACAGAUUGAGAGCUCUUUCUUGAUUUUGUGGGUGGUGGUGCAUGGCCGUUCUUAGUUGGUGGAGUGAUUUGUCUGCUUAAUUGCGAUAACGAACGAGACCUUAACCUGCUAAAUAGCCCGCGUUGCUUUGGCAGCGCGCUGGCUUCUUAGAGGGACUAUCGGCUCAAGCCGAUGGAAGUUUGAGGCAAUAACAGGUCUGUGAUGCCCUUAGAUGUUCUGGGCCGCACGCGCGCUACACUGACAGAGCCAGCGAGUUCUUCCUUGGCCGGAAGGCCCGGGUAAUCUUGUUAAACUCUGUCGUGCUGGGGAUAGAGCAUUGCAAUUAUUGCUCUUCAACGAGGAAUCCCUAGUAAGCGCAAGUCAUCAGCUUGCGUUGAUUACGUCCCUGCCCUUUGUACACACCGCCCGUCGCUACUACCGAUUGAAUGGCUCAGUGAGGCUUUCGGACUGGCCCAGAGAGGUCGGCAACGACCACUCAGG
rnacentral:rRNA from 1 species